rnacentral:misc_RNA from 1 species
GUCCUCACUUACAAGUUUAAGUUUUUAGGUUGAUUGGUUUCUUGACAUUUAUCAUCUCGAAUUGAAGCAUCUAGAUUCUUUGCAACCAUUUCCUCAAUACUGAAAGACCUUGUUCACUUGUCAUGUUUCUAUUCUAGGUUUUGACCCUCAUCAGAACUUGAAACAAUACAACCCAUUACCAGCAUGCUAAAGGCUCAACAAAAGAGGAUGGUUAGUGUGUCUAGUUAUCCAUUGCCCUAUUGGGAUGCAGUUAUUGGUGAUAGCUGCUUGAUUGUGUUUUUUUGCUUCUUUGGCAUCCUAUGUAAA